GAACGUGUAGCUUAGCAGGAUAGAGCAGUCCCCUCCUAAGGGACAGGUCGGCGGUUCAACUCCGCCCACGUUCGCCA
rnacentral:tRNA from 1 species